rnacentral:rRNA from 1 species
CGAAGGCGUAGCGUUGCUCGGAAUUACUGGCGUAAGGAGCGUAGGCGGACAUUAAGUCAGGGUGGAAUACCCGGGCGUCAACCUCGGAAUUGCCUUUGAUACUGGGUGUCUUGAGUAUGAGAGAGGUGUGUGGAACUCCGAGUGUAGAGGUGAAAUUCGUAGAUAUUCGGAAGAACACCAGUGGCGAAGGCGACACACUGGCUCAUUACUGACGCUGAGGCUCGAAAAGCGUGGGGCGAAACAGGAUU